rnacentral:rRNA from 1 species
UACGUAGGGGGCAAGCGUUGUCCGGAAUUAUUGGGCGUAAAGAGCGCGUAGGCGGUCCGAUAAGUCGGCUGUGAAAGUCAAGGGCUCAACCCUUGAAAGCCGGCCGAUACUGUCGGACUAGAGUCCGGAAGAGGCGAGUGGAAUUCCCGGUGUAGCGGUGAAAUGCGCAGAUAUCGGGAGGAACACCAAUGGCGAAGGCAGCUCGCUAAACUGUAACUGACGCUGAGGCACGAAAGCGUGGGGAUCAAACAGG